rnacentral:rRNA from 1 species
UUUAAGAAAACAGGGAGCAGGUAUCAGGCACGCCCCUAUCAGCCCAAGACACCUUGCUUAGCCACGCCCCCAAGGGACUUCAGCAGUGAUUAAUAUUAGAUAAUGAACGAAAGUUUGAUCUAGUUAAGGUUAUUAGAGCCGGCCAACCUCGUGCCAGCCGCCGCGGUUAUACGAGCGGCCCAAAUUAAUGAGAUAACGGCGUAAAGAGUGUAUAAGAAAAACCUUCCCCUAUUAAAGAUAAAAUAGUGCCCAACUGUUAUACGCACCCGCACCAAUGAAAUCCACUACAAAAGGAACUUUAUUAUAACAAGGCCUCUUAAAACACGAUAGCUAAAAAACAAACUGGGAUUAGAUACCCCACUAUGUUUAGCCCUAAACCUAGGUGUUUAAUUACCCAAACACCCGCCAGAGAACUACAAGCGCCAGCUUAAAACCCAAAGGACUUGGCGGUGCCUUAGACCCCCCUAGAGGAGCCUGUUCUAGAACCGAUAAUCCACGUUCAACCUCACCACCCCUUGCUCUUUCAGCCUAUAUACCGCCGUCGCCAGCCUGCCCCAUGAGGGUCAAACAGCAAGCACAAAGAAUUAAACUCCAAAACGUCAGGUCGAGGUGUAGCCCAUGAGGUGGGAAGAAAUGAGCUACAUUUUCUAUUAAGAUAAACAGAUAAAUAAUGAAAUUAAAUUUGAAGUUGGAUUUAGCAGUAAGAUAUAAAUAGUAUAUUAAUCUG